CAUUCUCAAAAAGAACCCUUCUCGGUCUUGCGAUCGGGAAAGGCCUCUUUUUGGACUUUGGAGGUUAUUGCUGGUCCCCCCUUGAUAGCCAGCUCCUCUUAAAUGAAUUAGUAGGGACCACUUUGCCGACCCUAGACGUGAUAAGAUGUUUCUGCGUCUUGGGUAUUCGCUCUGUCCUUUGGAAACCUGCUUCUAACCGUCUUGUCAAAAGACAGCGUUCGAGCCUUUCUCGUUGAUCGGGCAAGGCUUGACUUGACGAA
rnacentral:misc_RNA from 1 species